rnacentral:lncRNA from 1 species
ACUCUGCCAAACUUUUUUAUUAUCCCUCACAUUUCUCAUGCACGCAUAUAUGGAGAAUGAAAAUAAAGUCUUUCUUUCAUUUUCACAAGUACACAACUUUUUAUUCUUUUAUCUUUUUGUGCAUAGUGUAGAGGAAGCCGUAGGUAAAACCUACUGAUGUAACUUUUAUACUUUAUUAAUGGAAGAAGAAAAAUUUAACGAUAAAGACAUAUAAGGUCCC